rnacentral:tRNA from 1 species
UCCCAGUUAGCUUAGUUGGUAGUGCGUCUGCCUUGUAAGCGCUAGGCCGCGGGUUCGAUUCCCGCCCGGGGUG